ensembl:lncRNA
GCCAGGGACACCACAGAAGAGCUAAAUACUCAAAAACCCUCAAUUAAGAUCACAUUGCAGAUAAGCAAAAGUUAUGUGAUUUUAAGUGUCAAAAGCACCUUACGAAGAUGGUUCGCACGGUGGACUCUCCGUCAGAUCCUGCAAAUUGUGCUAAAUAGCUGGAGACCAACCUCCAUCUAAAUAACCUCUACCACAAACCUAUUGCUGCCUCUACCAGCAGAUAUUGGCAGAAAGCUGGAACUGAGCCUCCACCCUCUGCCUCUCCCUGCACCUGCAGUUGCUGCCUCCAACUGCAGGUUGCCGGCAGGCAGCUGCAGCCAAAUCUUCACCUACAGCCUCUGCCAGUGACCUGUUGAUGCCGCCUCCAACUGCAGGUUGCUGGCAGACAGCUUCAACCAAACCUCCACCUAUGUCCAACGACCACAGUUGCACCACCUGCAGACUCUGCCAGCCUCCACCUAAAAUCCUCUGCCAGCAACCUGCGGUUUUUGCCUCCAACUGCAGUCUGCUUGCAGACAACUGCAACUUAAUUCCAUCUUAACAGCCUCUGCCACAAACCUGCAGUUGCACCCUCCACUUGCAGAUUGUGGUUGAGGGGCUACAACCAAACCUCCACCGCCAGCUGUAGCUAAAUAUCCAGCCUCUGCCACUAAUCUGCUGUUACAUUCUCCACCAGCAGAUAUUGGCAGACAGCUGCAACUGAGCCUGAAUCUUCCGCCUCUGCCAGCACCUGCAGUGUCUGCCUAAAACGGUUGGUUGUUGGCAGUCAGCUGCAACCAAAUCUCCACCUAAAUAGCCUCUGACCUGCUAUAGCUGCCUCCAGCUGUAGCUGCCUCCAUCAUGGCCUACGCCAGUUACCUCUAUAUGCCGCCUCCACCUGAACAUACCGAUGAAUCCUAACUCUACCUCCCAAACCUCCACCUUCACGCAUCCGCCGCAACCUGCAGUUACCGCCUCUAACUGUAGUAUGCUGGAAGACAUUUGUAUAAAGAUGCCUUUGAAGCCUCAACGUAAAGCCUUUGUCAGAUGCCACAAGCUGCUGAUGUUUCAUCCAUGUGUCCAACCUCAUCAAAAUGCAACCAAAGCUUCACCUAAAUAGCUUCUACCACAAACCUGCCAUUCACCGUCUCCACCAGUAGAUUGUGGCAGACGGCUGAAACCGAACCUCCACCUAGAGCCACCUACAGUUACUUGUCGUCACCUAAGCGUCCACCUUCCUGCCUCUGGCAAAACCUGCUGCUCACCACCACCGGCAGUUUGUGCAGAGUGCUGCCUUUCAAAUCUUCAACUACAGCCUCUGCCAGAAUCUACAUUUGUUCCCUCCACCUGCGGAUUCUGGCACCUGGCGUUCCUCCACCUACGACCUCUAAAUUGUCUUACUCCUGAGAGACUUCAUCCACAACUCCCAUUGAGCCAGAAUUCAACGUGCUCCAGCGCCUGCAUCCUUUGCGAUGCUACACCUGAAGCCUCUCCCAGCUGCAACCGAACCUCCUCCUAAAUAGCUUCUGCCAGCAACCCACAGUUGCAUCCUCCACCUGUAGAUUGCACAGCCUCUGCUUACCUGUGGAAGCCUCCACCUGAAGAUCCUUGAAGAUCGCUAGAGCAUAAACCUCCACAUACAACCAUCACCGUGCACCUACAACUCUGCCUGAACUAUCUGCCAGCCAACUUUGUUGUUGGACUCCACACGUCCAGAUGUACCAGGAGCUGAUCGAGAGCCGGGAUCAUUCCUUCUACCACAAGAGCCAUGUUCCAGAGAUGCUUAUUCCUCCUCCACCUUCACCACCAACUCCUGCUCCUUGUCUUAACUUUUGCACUGUUGUUUAAUAAAUUCCAUCAUUGCU